rnacentral:lncRNA from 1 species
CUACUUUAAAAAAAAAAAAAAAGACUUCUAUUUCUCCUAAUUUCAAGCGCCUUGUAAACAUUCUUUUAAAGGCCUCCAUUAAAUGGACGUACCAGUUUCUUUAAUCAUCCUUUUAAUUCAGGAGACAAGCAUAGAUUGAUCUGUAAUGAGGAUCUUUUGCCAUCAAGUUUUCCCUCGUAUGUAGUGUGUCUGCUGUCGGCCAUGCAGAUGGUAGGUGGAAUCUGCUUCCUGCUAUGUGGGUGCCCCAUCCUGGCCACCACCAUUCCUGUGGACAUUGGGUGGAUUGUUCCUACAACUGGCCACCGUCCUCACCCCUGAAGGAGUCCGGGCUUCCGGGGACCUCCUGCCUGGAUGCUCCCAGAGAGCGGGAUUAUCUGGGCGGUUUGGAAAAGUCAGCCCGUGAGGCGUGAGGUGUGAGCGUGGAGGGGGAGGGGAGCACGUGUCUGUGUGUCCUGCAGGUGGCCUGU